UACGAAGGGGGCUAGCGUUGUUCGGAUUUACUGGGCGUAAAGCGCACGUAGGCGGAUCUUAAGUCGGGGGUGAAAUCCUGGAGCUCAACUCCAGAACUGCCCUUUGAUACUGAAGAUCGUCUGAGUUCGGGAGAGGUGAGUGGAACUGCGAGUGUAGAGGUGAAAUUCGUAGAUAUUCGCAAGAACACCAGUGGCGAAGGCGGCUCACUGGCCCGGUACUGACGCUGAGGAGCGAAAGCAUGGGGAGCGAACAGG
rnacentral:rRNA from 1 species